AGAUGUGGGAGUAUAUGUACCAAAAGGAACAGGAGAGUAUGAGGAAAUUCACAGAGCAGCAGUUGGCUUUGCAGAAGCAGAAGCGGAUACAGAAGCGAUUGGACAAAAAAUUUCGAAGAAGACGGAAAAUUGCUAAGAAGACAAGUAAAAGAGAGAGAGAGAGCUCAAGUUCUGAAUAAAGUAAUUAAUGCCGACUCGGAGAAAAGAAUUGGUUUCCCAUUUCAUCUAUUCUAGAUAUGUUUUUUGGUUGCAUUUUUAAUUAAUAAUACUGGAUCCUUGUUUUUGCUAUUACUUUAAUUGGUAGGGCUGGUGUGUGUGAAAAAGGAAAACCCUCUCAACUCCUUUAUAUGUAUCAAGAGAGGAAAACCCUCUCAACUCCAAAAUAUAUAUCUAUAUCUCUGAGAACCAAGUCUAAGUUUUAGACCUAUGA